rnacentral:rRNA from 1 species
AUUGAACGCUGGCGGCAUGCCUUACACAUGCAAGUCGAACGGCAGCACGGGAGCAAUCCUGGUGGCGAGUGGCGAACGGGUGAGUAAAGUAUCGGAACGUGCCCAGUCGUGGGGGAUAACGUAGCGAAAGUUACGCUAAUACCGCAUACGAUCUAUGGAUGAAAGCAGGGGAUCGCAAGACCUCGCGCGAUUGGAGCGGCGGAUAUCAGAUUAGGUAGGUGGUGGGGUAAAGGCUCACCAAGCCGACGAUCUGUAGCUGGUCUGAGAGGACGACCAGCCACACUGGGACUGAGACACGGCCCAGACUCCUACGGGAGGCAGCAGUGGGGAAUUUUGGACAAUGGGCGAAAGCCUGAUCCAGCCAUGCCGCGUGCAGGAUGAAGGCCUUCGGGUUGUAAACUGCUUUUGUACGGAACGAAAAGGUUUGGGCUAAUAAGCUGAGCUCAUGACGGUACCGUAAGAAUAAGCACCGGCUAACUACGUGCCAGCCGCCGCGGUAA